GCUGGGCGUGCUGGAGUGUGCCUGUAGUCCCAGCCACUCAGGAGGCUGAGGCAGGAGGAUCACUUGAGCCCGGGAGUUCUGGGGCUGUAGUGCACUAUGCUAAUCUGGUGUCCACACUAAGUUCGGCAUCAAUAUGUUGACCUGGGAGAGGGAGACCACCAGGUUGCCUAAGGAGAGGUGAACCAGCCCAGGUUGGAAAUGGAGCAGGUCAAAAACUCCCAUGCUGAUCAGCAGUGGGAUCACACUGCAUGCACUCCAGCCCGGGCAACAUAGCGAGACCCUGUCUCU
rnacentral:SRP_RNA from 1 species